CAGGUAGUGGAUGAAUUCACCCACUGGCUGAUUCUCAUAGCAUGUCUUGUACACAGCCGUGAACAGAGGGAACCUAGAACGGGGAAGGACAGACCCAGCUUGACCUCCAGGGCCCACCUUUCCUGUUCGGGCGAAGGCCUCAGCCACCUUGCGGUUCCGCCCUCCGUAGCAGGUAGUGAUGAGGUCAGCAACACCACAGCUCUCCAAGAAGGUGGCAGAGGACACAGGGCCGCUGCAGAAGAGCUUGGCGAAGGCGAUCAUCUCCAUGAGCCCCAGUCGGAUCACUGCCGCCUUGGUGUUGUCACCAAAGCCCAGCCCAUCACAGAAGCCAGCCCCCACGGCCACUAUGUUCUUUGGGGAGUGGAGUCACAGGUGAGAAAGGAUCCCCUCCCAGAGGCCCCACUUGGAGCUCCCAGCACCUGCCUCAUGCUCCAUCCAUCAGCCAUGAUAUACCCACUGAAUAAAUGAAGUAAGCCGGGGGUGGCGCUCCUCAGCUGUUUCCACCUCUUGGCUUUCCCGCUUGCUGUGCUCCCUUCCUUUAGCCUGGGCUUGUGCUUCUUAGUUCCCUAACCCUGCCGUCUACUCUAUCCUUGAAUAUCCUUGUUUAGCUGACCCUUACAUCCAUGACUAUUCUGUUCUGUGUCUCUGAUACCCAUCCAUAGCUCUGUCCAGGAUCCAGCGUUCUGACCAUCAGUCUAACCCGGUGUCCUGGACAUCUUGUCUCCAAUUAGCCUGGGUGCUCCCCCGAGGCAUCUUCUCUUCCCCCUGGACCACCCCUUGGUGCCAGGAAUUGGGAUGUCCUACAAGGGGCUAUAGGGGAAAGGAAGAAGGGAGCCCAAUGUCUGGUGAUAAGUAAUCAGCAGGCCUGAGUGAUCCUGGCCUUGCUUUUGCAGUUCUUCCCACUUGUAUGGGACUUGGUGGGGAAGGGGAGCAACUGCCCAAGUAAGAGCGUGGUGUGCCUUGUAUAGCUAAGCCGGGCCUUCUUUCAGGACCUUCUCCCCACCCCAUAACGGCCUCUGUACCCCUCUCACCUUUAAGGCUCCACAGAUCUCUACUGUAUCCACCUCUUGCACCACUGUGAUGCGGAAGUUGAGAGUCUGCAUCAGUUCUUUUAGAAGCUGUCCCUGGGCCAGGUCCUUGCACCCUGAAGUGGGGAGGGGGUAAAGCUUUAAGCAGGGGUGGGGUGAUCUUGACUCUUAAUCCCACACCUGCCCUAAGCAGGACCUGCAGCCAUUUCCCUAGGGGUGCCCCAGCCCUCCCUCACCUCUGACGCUUGGGUCUCCUUCCUUUGCUUGCCUUGAGAACAUAGCUAAGUGGGUGGGGACUAGAGCAUGGGGAGGGAAUGUAACUGAAGUUGCAUUAUGUAUGUGGGUGCGGGGUGGGGUGUCUCACCAAUGGUUGUCUCACAGAACUUGUCAUCAGCCACCUCGCUGGCAAUGUUGGCCCCCAUCAGCACGCUCAUGGGGAUGCCAAGGCGCUCCCCAAUCACUUCAGAGAUGAGCUUCAGCCCGCGGGGGCCCUCGUCUACCCCCUGGGCACAGGAUGGAGCUCAGGCCAGGUGCCCUUUAUCCCCAACUGACAGCUUCCCACCCAGAAAUCCUACCCCUUCCUAAUCCACUGUUCAUAAGUGUCCCCCAAACGUCCUCCCCAAUUCCAGCCUAGCCAAAGCUUGCUGUGAGGAAGGUAGGCAGCAUGUGAAAACGAAUCCAUCUGAAAACUCCUUCUACAACCUACUUCUCCAAGGCAUCCCCCCUACAUCCCUAAACAGCCCACUCCUGAGUACCCCAAACCAACUCCCAUCCCAGCCACUGCUCCAAACCAAAUUCCCUUAACUCCUCAAACCAGUCCGCUUCUCAUAUCCCUCAGGCACCCCUUUUACACCUUGUAAACUCCCCAAGAUAUCUGCUUCUAAACCGAUCUCUUACCUACCCCAACGAACCUCCCCUUCCCGAUGGCCCCCAGCGUGUUUCUGAAGCCUUCCCAAAGCCAACUCCUCCCUUCACUCCAGAAAACUCCUGCCCUAUUUCUGCUGUUUCCUUUUUGUCUCACUUCAUCCACCUUGAGCCCCAUAACAAUUAGCUGCACCCCCAUCCACACGAUGUGUCCCUGGCACCUUAAUAAGGGAUAUGCCAAUGGCAUCUGCCUUCAGGUGGCCCUUGAGUUGAUCACAGAUCUUCCCGAUGAAUUGAUGGGGCACUACGAAGAUCAGGAUGUCAGCAUCUGCUGCAGCCUGGACCACAUCUGGGACAGCCACCUGUGGGGGUGACCAGUGCUCAAGGGCUUGACAUACUUCAUCUAGCCCCUGUGGAAGCCCAUUCAGGAGAUCUAGGAGCCAAAGAAUGAGGCUACUAGGGGAGAAAGAAGGGCAGUUUGGGGGCUGAAUCUGGAAGGGCUGAACUUGGAGGAAUAAGACACUCUAUUCCCUCCCCCUAGCCAUCCUCCCCUCUAAGUUCCAGCUGUCCUGGGCUCUUAAGGACUCCUGGAAGCCUCCUCCCAGCACUCUCCUAGCCCUUGGCUGUGGGACAGUGAGAGAGGCCAAAGGAGGUCUGGGCUUGGCAGGAGGAACAGGCCAAGUGAGAUUUCAUCACCCUGCUCCUUAUGGCCCCCAACUGGGAAGGGAGAGCCCCAGUUUUCCUAUCUUCCGUGCUCCCCCUUUCCAGGUGGGGAGUAAACCACGUGGAUUUGACCAAAGAUCUUAAGUCCAAGGAGCAGCCUCCACAUUUGCUAAUAACCCAGUGAAUGAGUAACAGGGUUAGAGCCUGAGGCAGGCACAACCCGGACCCCAAGUCUGGGAGCCAGAGAACCUGUCUUUGGUUGCCAUGGAGACCAACUUCCUCAUCCUCUCCCCUCCUUUUCCUGCUUGGGAGCCCAUGGGAUCGGGUAGAGAUGCAAAGGGAUGCACUCAGGUUCUCCUUAGUCCCAGAAAGUGCCUGGGGAGCAGUUUGGGGACUGUGCACAGGGGUGCCCUGUGCCUGAAGUAACCCUCUCGAGAUGCUUCCCAAGUCCAGGUGGCACUUGAAAUGGUCCCCUCCUGGCAGGAAGCUCCCCCUCCACUUCCCUCUCUCUUCCUUGCAGGGUGUUGGGGCUUACCACGUUGGCAGGCAGCUUGUGCCCUGGCAGGUACUUGACAUUCUCAUGCUGUGUGUUGAUGAUCUCUGUCAGCUUUCUACCCCCAACGUCUUCCUCAAACACCCACAUGGUCACCCGUGGGUCAAAGCCUGCCAGCUGGGCUGCAUUGCCACCCACAAUCUUGGCGAUGGCUGAGCCCCUGGCAGGAGGGGGAGCACAGACAGAGGAGUGGGAGCAUGAGGGAGGAAUGGUGGUAAGGGAGGGGACAGGGCUCCACCUGAGGAUAUCAGAGCAGCCACCAGAUUUACCUGCCGCCUUCCCUGUCACCCCCUCUGUGACACUGUAUCCCUAGUGACCCAGCAGUAGAAAGGAGACUCAGUCUACCUCACACUUUGCUGCUGGAGAAGGGGGCCAGCGUUCUGAUCUCCCCACCGCCCCCAAUCCCAAGCAGCUUUUCAGGCAGGGAACACUCUGGAGGCUCCCUUCCUGUGGCGAACAGGUGCAACUGCCCAAGAAGGCAAGGGCCAGGAGAGGUUUGGGCACCAUCUGUCCUAUGGGGGUAGGCACAGAAGACAGCAACAGGGGUGGAGCAGGAAUCGGGGGCAUUUCCUACCCACUAUCUAACUCCUGUCCACCAAGCCUCCCUCCUAUCCUCCUGGAUACUCAGGGGAACCUCCCCUCCCUCCACCCACGGCCCCUGACAGCGCUGCUUACCAGUUGCCAGAGCCUACAAUGCAGACUUUCUUGCCGGCCAUGGUGCCGCUUCUCGCUUCUCUGCCUGAACUGCCGCUUCUCGCUUCUCUGCCUGAACUGCCGGCUGGGUGCCACUCUCCCUAGCUCCUCUGCCAACUGGGAGCAUAUAACCCCGACACACGUGGGUGCAGCCAAGCCCCGCCCUCCAGGGGAGGGUGGGGAGGCGGGGACCCAGGGAGCCGGGGAGAGUCUGGCAGAGCCAGGGAAAGGGGAUAAAAGAGUGGAGACAGGUGGGGAACGGGAAUGAGGCAGACCAGGCCCGGUUUUCCUCUUAGGUUCGCUAGCUGACAGUGCUGACGAGCUUCUUCCCUUGGCCCCAGCAAUGGUCUCAUUUUGAAGUCUGCCAAGAGCAAGCCCAGAUAAGAAGCAAGUGACUGGUCCUCUUCACUCCUUUCUGUCCCCCAGCACUGGAACAAAUUGUAUUCAGUCCUAGCAGCAGAUACAGGAAAGCUUUCUUUUUCAAAUCGCCCUGCAUAUCCUCCCAGGACCCCCAAAACUGCUCUACAGGUUUGUCCUCUACAAGUGACAGGGAGCACCUGUGACUGGCCCCACACUAGCUCCACCGCAGUGCCAUGGGUGAGUGAGGUGGGUGGGUGUGGGCCCACUCGACAAGAUAAGACCACAUAAGGGGUAACGGCCUCCUUUGGGGGCAAUCCAGCCCAAGGAUAAGAGACUCCAGGAGCCUGAGAAACAAGGUCCUCUCAGGGACUCACCAGUGGGCCUCCUCUCCUCAGAGGAUCCCCAUCUGAGUGUCUUCCAGGAAAGGAGGUUGGGAAAGGUCAUUGUUAAGGGGCUCUGAUGCCAAGUGGCCCCCAAUUCUUUUGCAGACUCCAGGCUUAAGGAUGAGGAUAGGAGAGAAAAGAAGGCAUCCCAGGUGGUCACUGUCCUUGACAGGCUUUGAGCUUCCUUCACCUCUUUCUCGGGUUUCCAAGCUACCACACUAGGGACUCCCUUAGGUUAGUGACUAGUUUGCAGAAGCCAAAAACUGGAAGGGAGGCAGGACUUGGGGCAUCUGUGACCUCUGUGGAGAUUUGUGGUCUCAGAUGCUGUAAUUGAGAUUAACUGGGGUGUGUGAUUUUGGGGGAAGGGAGGAUGGAAAAAACACAUUGAGCAAUUCAGGGCUCCAUGCUGCCCACAGCAAUCUGUUGGACUAAGAGGGGAAGCUCUGGUUUCUAGGCUGAUGUGGAGAGUUGGGCAAAGGCCCCUAACACUCCAGCUGUCUGAGAACCUUGGCCUAGAAGGCAGAUACCACUGUGUGCUCACGUGCUGACCUCCUGGCUUGGCCGACUGCUGAGUGGGUGUUUCCAUCCCCCUGGACUGCUGCUGGCCGGCAACAGUGAUAAGUACUGGGCUGGAGGCAAAUCUGUAUGCAACCGCUGGGUAAGGGUAAGUCAAGAUGGGGGAGAAAUGGUUUUCUAAGUCCUAGGGACUGCCCAGGAAAAGCCCACCCCAUUGUACUCCCAUGGCCAGGGAGUUCCCAUAGGGGGACAUACAUGAAAUCAGCAGUUCAUUGUUUCUCUUAGGAACAAAACUGUGCCUACCACAAAGCCAGCCUCCCACAGAUCACUGUCAUUGCACUGGCACUGUGACAAAGGCACCAGUGCCAGGCUGCCAGCUGGGAGCACUGAUUAUGGGAGAUGGAAAAAGAAUGCUUCUGUCCCUGGCACGUAUGUCCAUGGCACCCAAAGAAUGGAUGUUUAUGCGUAAGAUAAUCGCUUGUUUUUGCCUAAAUGCUUCCAUCUCUUAUUUUGCCCUACAAUCAUUUUAAGUAGUAUGGAGACAAAGAAUUUGUUCAUUUAUAUAGGAAUAAAGAGUGUGCAGAGAGAUUCAGAA